rnacentral:rRNA from 1 species
CAAUUCAUUGGGCGAUUCUAGCUCGCUCCCGGAAUCUCUCGACCCAAUCUUUAUUGGAUCCGCUGUAGAGUCGAAUCUUCCGCAUGCGAGGUUGUUGGAUCAUGGACAUAGCUGGUUCCAAAAAAAGCUCUCGGAUAGCAAAGCUCAUUUAGUGGUGAGAUCCGUUAGAACAGAGAUCUGGCCUUUAAAAACCGGUAACACUCCCGCGUCAUUGGUGGAACAACGUUUAGCGCUGUGUCCAAAAUAAAUUUGGAUAUGCCUCUAGAGUGAACCUGCGAGGUGCGAGCUUGGCAUAAUCAUGGGCAUAACUGUGUCCAAAUCAUGGUA